GUAGCCCUCGGCAUAUUGCUCAGUAACACGCGGAUAACCUGCCCUUGGGUUUGGGAUAACCCCGGGAAACUGGGACUAAUACCGGAUAGAUCAAAGAAACUGGAAUGUUCUUUGCUCGAAAGCUCCGGCGCCCAAGGAUGGGUCUGCGGCCUAUCAGGUAGUAGUGGGUGUAACGUACCUACUAGCCUACGACGGGUAAGGGUUGUGAGAGCAAGAGCCCUGAGAUGGAUUCUGAGACAUGAAUCCAGGCCCUAC
rnacentral:rRNA from 1 species